GCCAGUAUGGUGUAGUGGUUUGAGCAUUGGACUUUAAGUCUGGAGACCAGGGUUCAAAUCCUAGCUUGGGCA